CCACUCGCUGAAACUCUGAGGUGUAACAAGGUCCCUGGACAGAGUGAGAAGUGAGGAUGGGCAAGCCUUCUCCCCAGCAGCACUUGUGCCCUCAAAAAUGUGAGAUUCUAGCCGUUCUCAGCAUCAGGUGACUCUGCUCCUUGAAAAUACAUUUAAGUGAUGCCAUUCCUGUCCAAAACCACCACUGACUCCUUCUUCAGAGGGCAAGCCUUGAAAUCAUGUGCAUUUGCCUGUGAGACGUUUCUCCGAUUAUCUGAAAAUCUUCUGCCAGGGAUAAGGCGAUUUGUCUCCAUUCUGUCUGAGGUUGCGGAUCUUGGUUUGCAGAGGAGGGCUGCAACGUAGUAGGUUCCUCCACGUGGCUUCUCACUGAAGCCAGAAUGACUCAUUUAGAGAGUAAUCUUGGUGCGGCCUCUUGCUGCCCUCUGGUGGAGAAAACGGGUAUUGAACAAGCCAUAACGACUGAUCUCUGAGGCAAAUGCUGUGAAGUGUCAGCGCAAAGGUCCACGGGGAAUAAUUACACUUCAAGCUAUUAUCUAAAUGAACGGAGUUCAUCUAAAUGAAUGGAGUUGGAACGGUUGUUCUAUGAGAAUCUGAUUUCUCAGCAAGAGAAGUUUUAAUUCCAUCCCCUUUUUAUUUCUGUUUGCUGCGAACUGGUUUCUCAUUUCUCCACACUUGCUCUUCCUUUUCGUGAACAAUCAUUUUGUGUAUUUUGAGAUCAUUAUAAAAUUCUUGUACGCUCAUUUUAAAACAUUUCCAGAAAGUGAAAGUCAGCAUGUGACCCAGGAAAAUUCUAAUUCUUAAAACACUCAAGACUCUAAACUAGGGUUUAGACCUAUAUAUUCAGAUCUAAUUCCAAACCAAAAUUCAUUUCAGAAGUUUAAAUAAAACGUAUUAGUCUUA
rnacentral:lncRNA from 1 species